rnacentral:lncRNA from 1 species
UGUGCUAUUCCUGAGUUAUUUCUGUUGAUACUGUGUCAUUCCUGUGUUAUUACGGUGUUAUUCCUGUGUUUAUUACUGUGUUAUUAUGAGUUAUUCCUGUGUUAUAACUGUGUUAUUUCUGUGUUAUUACAGCGUUAUUACUGCGUUAUUACUGUUAUUACCGAAUUAUUCCUGUGUUAUUACUGUGUAUUUCCUGUGUUAUUUCUUUUAUUACUGAGUUAUUCCUGUGUUAUUUCUGUGUUAUUACUGUGUUAUUACUGUGUUAAUUCUGUGUUAUUCCUGUGUUAUUACUUUGUUAUUCCUUUGUUAUUUCUGUUGUCACUGUUAUUCCUGUCAUUUCUGUGUUAUUACUGUGUUAUUAAGGUGCUAUUCCCGAGUAAUUUCUAUUAUUACUGUGUAUUCCUGUGUUAUUACUGUGUUAUUCCUGUGUUAUUACUGAACUAUUUCUGUGUUAUUACUGUGUUAUUCCUUUGUUAUAUCUGUGUUAUUACUGUGUUAUUAAAGUGUUAUUAAUGCAAAGUAUGUUGCAGCUGUUAUUUCUAUGAAAUUAUGUUGUCUUUGCU